AGCAGCCGCGGUAAUACGAAGGGACCUAGCGUAGUUCGGAAUUACUGGGCUUAAAGAGUUCGUAGGUGGUUGAAAAAGUUGGUGGUGAAAUCCCAGAGCUUAACUCUGGAACUGCCAUCAAAACUUUUCAGCUAGAGUAUGAUAGAGGAAAGCAGAAUUUCUAGUGUAGAGGUGAAAUUCGUAGAUAUUAGAAAGAAUACCAAUUGCGAAGGCAGCUUUCUGGAUCAUUACUGACGCUGAGGAACGAAAGCAUGGGUAGCGAAGAGGAUUAGAUACCCUCGUAGUCCAUGCCGUAAACGAUGUGUGUUAGACGUUGGAAAUUUAUUUUCAGUGUCGCAGCGAAAGCGAUAAACACACCGCCUGGGGAGUACGACCGCAAGGUUAAAACUCAAAUGAAUUGACGGGGACCCGCACAAGUAGUGGAGCAUGUGGUUUAAUUCGAAGAUACGCGCAGAACCUUACCAACACUUGACAUGUUCGUCGCGACUCUAAGAGAUUAGAGUUUUCGGUUCGGCCGGACGAAACACAGGUGCUGCAUGGCUGUCGUCAGCUCGUGUCGUGAGAUGUUGGGUUAAGUCCCGCAACGAGCGCGACCCUCACUUUUAGUUGCCAUCAUUUAGUUGGGCACUCUGAAAGAACUGCCAGUGAUAAGCUGGAGGAAGGUGGGGAUGACGUCAAGUCCUCAUGGCCCUUACGUGUUGGGCUACACACGUGCUACAAUGGUAUCUACAACAGGAAGCAAGACUGCGAAGUUAAGCAAAUCCUUAAAAGAUACCUCAGUUCGGAUUGCACUCUGCAACUCGAGUGCAUGAAGCUGGAAUUACUAGUAAUCGUGGAUCAGCGUGCCACGGUGAAUGCGUUCCCGGGUCUUGUACACACCGCCCGUCACACCAUGGGAGUUGGUUCUACCUUAAGGCAAGGUUUCAAACCCUUGACCACGGUAUAGUCAGCGACUGGGGUGAAGUCGUAACAAGGUAGCCG
rnacentral:rRNA from 1 species